rnacentral:rRNA from 1 species
UACGGAGGAGGCAAGCGUUAUCCGGAAUUAUUGGGCGUAAAGCGUCCGCAGGUGGCGAUUCAAGUCUGCGGUUAAAGACUGGGGCUUAACCCUGGAAAGGCCGUGGAAACUGAAACGCUAGAGUGCAGUAGGGGUAGAGGGAAUUCCCGGUGUAGCGGUGAAAUGCGUAGAGCUCGGGAAGAACAUCGGUGGCGAAAGCGCCCUGCUGGACUGCAACUGACACUCAGGGACGAAAGCUAGGGGAGCGAAUGGG